UGCAAGAAAGUGCAAAACGGAAUUCAAGCUGUGCCCAACAGGCUCUGGUAGGAAGCAUCUCUAGGCCUCCAAGGGCGCCGGAGCAGCACAGAGCCACAGGAAGGGGCUGGACCUCUGAAAAGCAGUACCCUUCCCGGUUGUCUGGAAGAGACAUUAGAGGCAAAGAGGAAUUGAGGGACUGUUCUGUGUGCAAAUGCCUUAGGAAAUUGGUCAGAUAUAAAAACCAAAAGGAUGUAACACUUUACCCUGGGUGAAGAGGAGCGAGAAGCGAAAGCUGGAAGCAGCAGGGAGAGAGAAAGGAGGCGUCUGACGGAAACAAGACAAGAAAUCUGUGAGUUGGCAGAAAGGCACUGGUGCAGACAAGCUUAUAACUCUUUGUGCCCAGACAUAUGGAAGGACAGUCGCAACAGCCAUGCUAUAGAAAAAGGGGCAAAAAACAUACGGAUGUGGGCCUGGUCACAAAGGCCUUUAAAGGACAGCAAGAAGGAAACCCCCAAGCUAGCAAUUCCAUGUGCAAGGAAGAAUUUCACUGUAGGGAGGUCCUGAACCCAAGUUACCCUUGAUUGCCAGAAGAAGGCAUCUGAUCCCCUGGAUUUAGAGUUGCAGGCCCUUUGAACUGCCUGAGGUCCCAUUGCCACAAGGAUUGCCCACGGAGCAUUCAUCGGUAUCUGUAACGGAUAUGAAGUGGAGAGGAAAUGAGAGGAGCCUGUCCUUAUGGAGGAGUGCAUCUUUCCCUGGGAGUAGAUGUUCUAAUGGCUAAAAUAAGGCUCCUACGUGCAGCCAGGGGGUUCUGCUGGUUCGAAGACAAAGACUCUUUCCAAUUGGUCCCGCAUUACAUCACUGCAUAAGAAGGCUUACAUAUGACGGAGUCUUGCCAGAUAUAAAAUAGAAGACUACCUAAGAUUAAAUAAAAUAUACUGGAUAAAACCCAA